AGCUGCUUUUGGACUACGAUUCCCAUCAUCCCUGACCACUGGUCCUGCUAGCUAGGGGUGAUGGGAGUUGUAGUCCAAAAACAGCU